GGACGAACGCUGGCGGCGUGCUUAACACAUGCAAGUGGAGCGACGACCGGGCUUCGCCCGGGGCAGAGCCGCGAACGGGUGAGUAACACGUGGGUAACCUGCCUCAAUGAUUGGGACAACCCGGGGAAACUCGGGCUAAUACCAAAUGUGUUCACUCCUUCUAAGGGGAGUGAGGAAAGGAAGCUUCGGCCUCCGCAUUGAGAUGGGCCCGCGGCCCAUUAGCUUGUUGGUGAGGUAACGGCUCACCAAGGCUUCGAUGGGUAGCUGGUCUGAGAGGACGAUCAGCCACACUGGGACUGAGACACGGCCCAGACUCCUACGGGAGGCAGCAGUGGGGAAUCUUGCACAAUGCGCGAAAGCGUGAUGCAGCAACGCCGCGUGGGGGAAGACGGCCUUCGGUUGUAAACCCUUUCAGUUGGGACGAAGCUUCGUCGGUGAAUAGCCGGUUGGAGUGACGGUACCUUCAGAAGAAGCCCCGGCUAACUACGUG
rnacentral:rRNA from 1 species